UUUAUAUUUAUGCUUUCCUCAUGUGGCGUUUAUAAUCUCAACAGAGGCUCUGUACACAAAGCUCCACAUUAAGUAUGAUGCUGUAAAGAAGAAAAAAAUUUCUGAAUUGGAUGAGAUCAACAAAGAUCAAGAAGUAUAGUUUUUGAAUUACAUGACAGCUGCAGAAGAGCUGAUACAACAUUUGAAAGUUGAAAAUGACAGGUUGCAUGAACAAGUUAGUGAAUUGAGAAACCAAGUUGUUUCAAUCAGGCAUAGAUUUCCUUUUUUUUUUUUUU
rnacentral:misc_RNA from 1 species